rnacentral:rRNA from 1 species
AGUGAACGCUGGCGGUAGGCCUAACACAUGCAAGUCGAACGGCCGCACAGUAAGAGCUUGCUCUUACGGGUGGCGAGUGGCGGACGGGUGAGGCAUACAUCGGAAUCUACUUUUUCGUGGGGGAUAACGUAGGGAAACUUACGCUAAUACCGCAUACGACCUACGGGUGAAAGCAGGGGAUCUUCGGACCUUGCGCGAUUGAAUGAGCCGAUGUCGGAUUAGCUAGUUGGCGGGGUAAAGGCCCACCAAGGCGACGAUCCGUAGCUGGUCUGAGAGGAUGAUCAGCCACACUGGAACUGAGACACGGUCCAGACUCCUACGGGAGGCAGCAGUGGGGAAUAUUGGACAAUGGGCGCAAGCCUGAUCCAGCCAUACCGCGUGAGUGAAGAAGGCCUUCGGGUUGUAAAGCCCUGUUGUUGGGAAAGAAAAGCAGCAGGUUAAUACCCCGCUGUUCUGACGGUACCCAAAGAAUAAGCACCGGCUAACUUCGUG